rnacentral:tRNA from 1 species
GGCAUGGUGGAGCAGUGGUAAUGUCACCGACUGACUAUCGGUUGACCUGGGUUCCAUUCCCGCUCUACCG